rnacentral:rRNA from 1 species
CCCCAGACUCCUACGGGAGGCAGCAGUGGGGAAUAUUGCACAAUGGGGGGAACCUUGAUGCAGCAACGCCGCGUGGGUGAAGAAGUACUCCGGUAUGUAAAGCCCUGUCAGCAGGGAAGAAAAUGACGGUACCUGACCAAGAAGCCCCGGCUAACUACGUGCCAGCAGCCGCGGUAAUACGUAGGGGGCAAGCGUUAUCCGGAUUUACUGGGUGUAAAGGGGGCGCAGACGGCGAUGCAAGCCAGGAGUGAAAGCCCGGGGCCCAACCCCGGGACUGCUCUUGGAACUGCGUGGCUGGAGUGCAGGAGGGGCAGGCGGAAUUCCUGGUGUAGCGGUGAAAUGCGUAGAUAUCAGGGGGAACACCGGUGGCGAAGGCGGCCUGCUGGACUGCUACUGACGUUGAGGCCCGAAAGCGUGGGGAGCAAACAGGAUUAGAUACCCCUGUA